UGGGGAAUAUUGCGCAAUGGGCGAAAGCCUGACCCAGCAACGCCGCGUGAAGGAUGAAGUAUUUCGGUAUGUAAACUUCGUAAGAAUAGGAAGAAUAAAUGACGGUACUAUUUGUAAGGUCCGGCUAACUACGUGCCAGCAGCCGCGGUAAUACGUAGGGACCAAGCGUUGUUCGGAUUUACUGGGCGUAAAGGGCGCGUAGGCGGUUUGUCAAGUCAGUUGUGAAAUCUCCGGGCUUAACUCGGAGCGGCCAAGUGAUACUGUUAGGCUAGAGUGCAGAAAGGGCAAUCGGAAUUCUUGGUGUAGCGGUGAAAUGCGUAGAUAUCAAGAGGAACACCUGAGGCGAAGGCGGGUUGCUAGGCUGACACUGACGCUGAGGCGCGAAAGCUAGGGUAGCAAACGGGAUUAGAUACCCUCGUAGUCCCUGAGCGGGCUGGCAAGGCGCAU
rnacentral:rRNA from 1 species